GCCGCGGUCGCACAACGGUGGUGCGGGUGAUUAACACCCACCUGUCCGAAAGGAUGUCUGGGUUCGAAUCCCAGCCGCGGCG
rnacentral:tRNA from 1 species